rnacentral:rRNA from 1 species
UGGGGAAUUUUGGACAAUGGGCGAAAGCCUGAUCCAGCAAUGCCGCGUGUGUGAAGAAGGCCUUCGGGUUGUAAAGCACUUUUGUCCGGAAAGAAAUCCUUGGCUCUAAUACAGUCGGGGGAUGACGGUACCGGAAGAAUAAGCACCGGCUAACUACGUGCCAGCAGCCGCGGUAAUACGUAGGGUGCAAGCGUUAAUCGGAAUUACUGGGCGUAAAGCGUGCGCAGGCGGUUUGCUAAGACCGAUGUGAAAUCCCCGGGCUCAACCUGGGAACUGCAUUGGUGACUGGCAGGCUAGAGUAUGGCAGAGGGGGGUAGAAUUCCACGUGUAGCAGUGAAAUGCGUAGAGAUGUGGAGGAAUACCGAUGGCGAAGGCAGCCCCCUGGGCCAAUACUGACGCUCAUGCACGAAAGCGUGGGGAGCAAACAGGAUUAGAUACCCUGGUAGUCCACGCCCUAAACGAUGUCAACUAGUUGUUGGGGAUUCAUUUCCUUAGUAACGUAGCUAACGCGUGAAGUUGACCGCCUGGGGAGUACGGUCGCAAGAUUAAAACUUAAAGGAAUUGACGGGGUCAAGCUG